AUGCCUCUGAGUGACCAACUGAAGCAGUUGGUUGAGCUCCACAGGGCGACCAAAGUGGCCAUGAAGGACUUCAUAGUCCGGAUGUGGCCUGGUGAGCCCCUGCCCGACAGCUACUUCGGCCUUAUAAAGCGGACGGUGAAUGCCUGUCCGCGGCUCGAAGUUAUCAAGCAAUCCGUUUGUAUUGAGGGUGCCCGCCGGGCCUUUGCCCGUGCGAAGAUGCAUUGGGCCAAGCUGGAUGCGGAGAAGCUGGUGAAGGAUGGACCGCUGGAGGGCAAGGCGCAUCACUACCCCGAGAAAUAUUAUGAUGGCGUUAUGAAAGACGCUCGCCUCGUGCCCGAUGAAUGUACCAAGGACGCGAUCUUUGAGUGA
rnacentral:rRNA from 1 species